GUGACCUUGAAAAUCAGAAAGAAUUUAAUGAAAUUAUAAAAUGAAAUAAAACACAGAGAGAAAAACCUACGACAUAUCAUAAGCUCCAAUCUGUGAAUCCUCGACGCCCAAACCUGAGAGAUUAAAUAGAUCAGCUGCCAAACCUCUAGCCAGAUCAUCCUCUCGCCAAUUCGUGUUUGACAUUUUGACCAUGAAGACAAGCUAGGAUUUGAGAUCUAACAAUACACAGCAAUCCUACAAGCAAGAUUUCCUGGUUAAAAGAAGACGUAGUAUAAAUUUCUGUCUUGGUUCAAGCAGAACACCUGCACUAAUCUUGUUUUCCAUUGAACAAAACAAAAUAUCGCGAAAGAACCUCAUUCGUGAUUCCAAUUU